ensembl:lncRNA
GCUUAUCCCAACCUCAUCUACCCCUGCUCUAGAGGAGGCGGUCCGCCAGUCCAUGUGUGGGCUAUUGAAGUUCUCCACUGACACUUCCUGACCUAGUUUCCAUUUCCCCAGGGUUUUCCCUGUUCAGUCUGGAGGUUGCCCUCCUGGGCUUGGGUUUACCGCCUCACGGUGGUCUGACUCUGCCCCUGUCCUCUGUCUGUCCAGCCUUUCCACCUACCCGCUGAAUUUUGCAGGAGUGUGUUGGUUCAGUGCUCAAAAGUACAGUCCGGUGUGACAAUUACGACUUUGAACAUCGUUAAAAAGUUUCCUCUCUCCAGGAGCAUGGGGGCAGCUGGCUGAGAAGCCUCAAGCUGAUGGACCAUGAGUAGGUCCUUAUUGAUUAUCUAGUUUAUACAUGCUGCUGCUGCUGCUGCUAAGUUGCUUCAGUCGUGUCCGACUCUGUGCGACCCCACAGACGGCAGCCCACCAGGCUCCCCUGUUCCUGGGAUUCUCCAGAAUCCUGAUUAUCUUGAGGACUGCAAUGUUACCAGCUAAAACAUGUAUUUCAUAGCCUCUCUUAUAAAGAGAGGUAAGUAAAUUCUGGCCAAUGAGAUAGAAGUCAAGAUUUUUGGUGUGGAUCCCGGGAAAGCUUCUUAAAUGGUAGAUUGAUUCAAAUGGCUUUUGGCCUAUUACACACCCUCAUUCCCAUCUUGAACUUGGACCUGAUGGCUGGUACUGAACAGCCAUUUUGCAGCAAUGAGACUUUAUUUCAUGAACUAAGGAUGACGGAGCUAAAGGAUAGAGGAAGGAUGGCACAUUAAUAAAAUCGUGGAGUUGCUG